rnacentral:sRNA from 1 species
UAAGAAAUAUUUUGGAGUGGUGCAGUAUUCUAGUCAGUCUCCCAUUCCUGAAGGCGGGCCUAAAAAUCCGCCAAAGGGCACAUCGAUGAAGUUCCUGGUGCCGGCUUGAGGCGCCCAGCCUUGGGUUGACGCUGGGAGUUAAGGUCGCAGGGCGAUCCACAAUGGCAUGUGGGCGAUGACCCUGCUUCCGCGGAGGCCCCCAUCUUUGCGGCUUGUGUUCUAAUACCUUGCUGUGAAAUGGGGUUUGAACCUGUUUUUGUUCUGCUCAAUCCUUGAGCGGAAACAAGCAGCGUAGCCUGCCUUGAGUGGAGUUUGAGGGGAUUAUGGACAUGGAAACGGGUGACGGUUGGCCGCUGGAUCUUUGUUUAUGCCAUAUGAAAUCAGCUCUGCAAAAGAGGCUAGGGAAAUGGGGAAGGGCUGUUGAGGAAAACUCCUAGACUGUUCCCACCGACAUUCAAAAAGGAUUAUAGUGCGGACUAAGUGGCAAUCCAGUCUAACGCCAGGCGACUGCGUUAAGGAGGAAGUAAAGGGAAACCGCGAAUUUGGCGACAAAUUCGUUUCCUCUUGGGAAAACCUACUGGACCUAAGCCGCAGCGUUUACUUUUUGAAUGACCACUCCUCAUACAUAAUUC